rnacentral:rRNA from 1 species
AGUGAACGCUGGCGGUAGGCCUAACACAUGCAAGUCGAACGGCAGCACAGUAAGAGCUUGCUCUUACGGGUGGCGAGUGGCGGACGGGUGAGGAAUACAUCGGAAUCUACUUUUUCGUGGGGGAUAACGUAGGGAAACUUACGCUAAUACCGCAUACGACCUACGGGUGAAAGCAGGGGAUCUUCGGACCUUGCGCGAUUGAAUGAGCCGAUGUCGGAUUAGCUAGUUGGCGGGGUAAAGGCCCACCAAGGCGACGAUCCGUAUCUGGUCUGAGAGGAUGAUCAGCCACACUGGAACUGAGACACGGUCCAGACUCCUACGGGAGGCAGCAGUGGAGAAUAUUGGACAAUGGGCGCAAGCCUGAUCCAGCCAUACCGCGUGGGUGAAGAAGGCCUUCGGGUUGUAAAGCCCUUUUGUUGGGAAAGAAAAGCAGCAGGUUAAUACCCCGCUGUUCUGACGGUACCCAAAGAAUAAGCACCGGCUAACUUCGUG